rnacentral:tRNA from 1 species
CGGGGGAUAGUGUAAUGGUAACACGCCUGGUUCGGGUCCAGGAGAUUUCGGGUUCGAGUCCCGAUCCCCCGA